UGACAUUCACAACUAUUUGCGCAUGUACAUGUUAAGUUUUCGUAUUAGAAUAUCAAAGUUGUUUUAUGAAUAGGAAAAAAUCGAUCCGAAAAUUAUUUGGGAGCAGGAAUUUCAAAUGUUGAGAAAUAUACAUUGAAUAUUGUUAAAGCAAAACAAAGAUUUUCGUUACCGUGGAAGGUCAAAAUCGAUCAUGCCCGCUUGGUUAGUACCUAUAUCCGGUGUACUGAUGAUACACGGUGGAUAAAAUAUGGAGAAUGCAAAAUAUAAUUUUUCUUGCAAUUACUGAUGAAAUCAUACAUCAUUACAAACUUCCUUACAACUUUUUAUUUACAUGUUGUUUCAAUUUCACAAAUUAAAAAAGAUUAUCAGGUGUUGAAGCUGUAACUUCAGUAUAUCCUUGGUAUUGUCAGCUGAAGAAACAUGACAAAUCCCAAGUUGGCUGACUUGUAAAAAAAUUCAGAUAACAUUUCUGUUUAGAUAUCACUAUAUUUUGUAGGUAUUAUAUCUUCUAUAUAGAAAUGCAGAAAAGUCUGUUCAUAUUUUCUGAAAAUGUUUUGAAGGAAAGUUUUAAACAGGUUAAGGGAGGAAAGGGAUCUUUAUUAUUAUGCAUCAUUACCACUUUUACUAAGUUAUGGUGUGUUAAGGAAUGACAUGAAAGAUAUUUUGAUAAUGCAUUUGCAUAAUUAUAAUUUUAAAGUUUAAAAUGGUGGUAUCUGUGAUAUUUUUUUAUUAAUUUUAUAAAUUUCUAUCCCAUUUUGUUACCUC
rnacentral:lncRNA from 1 species